CAAAACACACACGAAAAUGUUUCCGAGUUGUCGUGUCGAAUUUAAAGCUUUUAUAAUGCGCAUACCACGAAUUUUUGUUGACGUACCGAAUACCGUUUGCAUAUUUCCCCCAAAAAUGAACAGCAACAGCGAAAAAAUACUAGAUGAGAAGCGACCGAAAAUGAAAGAAAUGCGAAGCGAGAAAACCAAUUUCGUAUGCUUGUUACAAUGCUUGCCAAUUAGCAUAUGUAUGGGGGCAUUCAGAGCCCAGAACCCAGAACCCCGAAUAUCAUAUGCAUAUAUACUUGUAGAUACAAAUAAAUGUAUCUGAAAAGACGUCAAACGCUCAUCGAUCAAUGGCAGCAACGAUGAAGGCAUUAAAGUUCGCCCGCAUAACUUGCCAGCACCAAAUACCCUGCGAAAACGUUCAACAAAAUGAAGGGUAGAUAGUUUUUUGUAUUUGAAUUUUUUGGAAUUUCAAACAGUGCCCGCUGAAAGUAAACAAGCGCUUUUCCAAAAAUCUACACGCGCGCACCGAACGAAAAAAAAAAAAAUGCCCGUCAACAAGUCAUAAAAUAUCAUAAAUUUCAAUUUAAGUUUAUUUUGCCUUUUGCAUUGAGCCACCGAACAGGGGACGACGGGGAGGAGAGGAUCGUACUCCAAGUGGGCGUUUUUGUUGUCUCGUGUGUGUGUGAUUGUGUGUAUAAAUUCUAUGAAUUUUUUAAUAGUUCAUUUGUAUGCA